UGCGUAGGUGGUGAGGUAAGUCGGAUGUGAAAUCUCCAGGCUCAACCUGGAAAUGGCAUUGGAAACUACCUCGCUGGAGGUUUGGGAGGGGGGACUGGAAUUCUCGGUGUAGCAGUGAAAUGCGUAGAUAUCGAGAGGAACACCAGUGGCGAAGGCGAGUCCCUGGACAACACCUGACACUGAGGCACGAAAGCUAGGGGAGCAAACA
rnacentral:rRNA from 1 species